ACACAUUUCUUUUUUUUUUAUAAUUCUUUAUUUUUACUCAAUAGAAUCAGCAAGUGUACAUCAACUUUCAGGCUUACGCAGAAGCCAACAUGUUCAACAUUGUGGGAACAUUGCAAAGUUUGCCGAGAAAAUAAAACACAAAGAGUAAACAACAAAGACAAGGCAUGGACAAUGUGUGCUCCGCCAUUUACUGAAUCUACUGGCACCUGCCGUCUAUCGAGGUGUUUUUAAAUUUUUUAAUUACCCCCUUCUAGGAUAUACAUCAAUGAUCGGGUAAUUCGACAGUUAUACGGUCACUUUCGAGCUAAUAUAGAGGCCUAUUAAAUUACAAUUUAAUAUAAGAAAAAGGUAAUCGUUGUGGUUGUCGUUUGCCUGUAAUUGUAACUUAGUAUUGGCUCUCUCCGUUUGUCGGGGAAACUUAUGGUAGAUAAAGGUACAGGCUAAUCUGCAAAAGUUAAGUAGCCAUCAUAUUUGCUGAUCAACUUCCUAAGUGUGUUACCUUGUU